rnacentral:rRNA from 1 species
GAUGAACGCUAGCUACAGGCUUAACACAUGCAAGUCGAGGGGAAACGACAUCGAAAGCUUGCUUUUGAUGGGCGUCGACCGGCGCACGGGUGAGUAACGCGUAUCCAACCUGCCCGCCACUUGGGGAUAACCUUGCGAAAGUAAGACUAAUACCCAAUGAUAUCCCACGAAGGCAUCCGAAUGGGAUUAAAGAUUUAUCGGUGAUGGAUGGGGAUGCGUCUGAUUAGCUUGUUGGCGGGGUAACGGCCCACCAAGGCUACGAUCAGUAGGGGUUCUGAGAGGAAGGUCCCCCACAUUGGAACUGAGACACGGUCCAAACUCCUACGGGAGGCAGCAGUGAGGAAUAUUGGUCAAUGGGCGAGAGCCUGAACCAGCCAAGUAGCGUGCAGGAUGACGGCCCUAUGGGUUGUAAACUGCUUUUAUACGGGAAUAAAGUGGGCCACGCGUGGUCUUUUGCAUGUACCGUAUGAAUAAGGACCGGCUAAUUCCGUG